GGCGCGGUAGCAUAACUGGAGAGUGCAUCAGGUUCGCCCUGAAGACGCCGGGUUCAAGUCUCGGCCCGCGCCU
rnacentral:tRNA from 1 species